UUGACAGAGUGGCACCCGUUAAAGCACAGAGCUCGUGAACAGAGCUCCAGCAAGCCCCGCCCCCACCUCCGGGAGCUUGAACUUGGGGCCUUGUGGAUGCUAAGUACAGUUUGCAAUCAGCAAAGGAUAGAGGCCUCAGAGAUGCGCACACCAAUCAGCAAGAACUAAAGGCAGGCAGGCAACACUGGAUUUUCUCAGACCUUUUUAUAUAUAUGGGCCUUCCCUUGGAAGGUACCACUCACUCUGAGGGAGGGUCUUGUACCCUCAGCUAACCCUCUGGCAAUGUCCUCACGGACUCUCCCAGAAGAAUGUCUCUUAGUUCUGGGCCAACCAACUGACAAUCAAGAUUGACCAUCACAGAGGGUUGAGGGUACUGACCGAGUUGUAAAACCAGGUACAGGAGGCAGAGGAGGCCAUGGCCAGGGAGGCGCAAUGUGACCAGCUGCCUCAAGCUCCUGCCUCAGUGACGUCCUCACCAUGAUGGGCUGCAACUAAGUCGGAAUAGACCCUCCACGCUUCAGCUGCUUCUGUGUGGUAUUUUACCACCCCAAGAAAAGUAACCAAGGCAACGGGUGAUCAUUAAAUGGUCCAGCGCUAAAACCAACAGAAUCUGGCAAACAUCCAGCCACAUGGUCUACUAGCCCCAGAGGAAGAUAGACAGAUCGAAACCUCCUGGUCCGGACGAAAGCCCUGACGCCCGUCUUGCCACAGUUGUCCCAUUCCAAGGCCGAGGUCUCUCUGGAGGUGUGGGGAAGAGAUCAAACCGGAGCUGAAGGGAAAUAUUUACUGAAUGCCAAUGACGUACUAAGUGCCUGCAGAGUGCAGAGGGAACUGAAGGAAGACAUGCUGCCUCAGAGAACCUUCACGGGGACCCUGGUCUGUUAAGUAAAAGUCAACAAGGUGAGUUGACAUUGCCUCAGGGCUUGGAGGAAAGCAGUUAAACAGGAGGGACAUGGAGUCCCUGGACCGGGGAGGGUGUCUCAGCAGGGGUCAGUGAGAUCCUGUCUGAAGUGUGACCUUUAAUUUGAAGUUUGCAGUAUGAAAAGGAGCCCAGGACAGAGAGCACACAUGGGCAAGGGCUCUGAAGUGGGUGUAGCCGUGUGUUAGGUGUGUCUGAAGAGAAAGAUGGACAGGAUUCAAGGCCUUCGGUGGAGCCAUUCGGGGGACUGCAGGGUUUCGGGGAUGUGGCAGACUCUCAGAAAAGUGCACAACGGCCCGAGCUGGGUUCCCAGCUGGAAUCAGUAAGACCAGAGUAUGAAGUGAGGUUUGCCUGACUUCCUAGCCUGUGCCCUCAGCAAACGCAUGGGACCACCCCCAAGGAGGAGCACAGACCUCAUAACUUGGGUAAGUUCAGAGUGGGUCAGAGGCAACCGUGAGAGCCUGGCAGACACUCAGUGCCACCUUUCCCAAAUGCUGCCAAGGAGUCAUGCACCAGAAGCAUGCCACUGAAGUACAAAGUGUCCUCUGCAUUGCAGCCCAUCCUAGCAAUUCCCGUCUCUUCCUGGAGACAGGUGGUUUAGAAGCAACCCCGACA